ACAUGGAAACUCGGACCAGGAGUUCCGUAGUUCAAUUUCACAACUUUAUUUUCAGUGAUUUCUUACUUCUUGUAUAAAAUCCUGUGUGCAUCAAUUUCCCUCCCUUCAAACAAGUUCUUCUCUAGAAACCCUUCUCUCUUUUUCUCUUUUGCUCUCAAAAAAUCUCAAGCACAAGUUUUAGCACAAAGGGAAGUAUCAAUGGCCAGUUGGGUUGCAGUGCUAAGUGUUGUUUGGGUGAGCAUAGUAAUUGCAUGGGCAUGGAGGGUGCUCAAUUGGGUGUGGUUGAGGCCAAAGAAACUAGAAAGAAGCUUGAGGGAGCAAGGCCUUACAGGCAAUUCCUACAAGCUUUGUUUGGAGACACCAAGGAGAGCUUAAUGAUGCUGGACCAAGCACAAUCCAAACCCAUCAAACUCUCCACCUCCCAUGAUAUAGCGCCACGUGUCAUGCCAUUUGUCCAUCAAACUGUGAACACUUAUGGUAAGAAUUCUUUUGUUUGGAUGGGUCCCAUACCAAAGGUGAACAUCAUGAACCCUGAAGAUUUGAAAGAAAUCUUCAACAAAGAUCAAAAUUUUCGGAGGCCAUCAGCAAGCCCUAUGAUCGAUUUGGUAGCACAAGGCCUUUCAGCCUUUGAAGAUGGAAAAUGGGCUAAACACAGAAAGAUUAUCCAUCCAGCAUUCCAUUUAGAGAAGCUAAAGGGUAUGGUACCAAUAUUUUACCAAAGUUGUAGCGAGAUGAUUAACAUAUGGAAGAGCUUGGUGUCCAAAGAGAGUUCAUGUGAGUUGGAUGUGUGGCCGUAUCUUGAAAAUUUUACCAGCGAUGUGAUUUCCCGAGCUGCAUUUGGAAGUAGCUAUGAAGAGGGAAGGAAAAUAUUUCAACUACUAAGAGAGGAAGCGAAAGUUUAUACGGUGGCUGUGCGAAGUGUUUACAUUCCAGGAUGGAGGUUUCUACCAACCAAGCAGAACAAGAAGACGAAGGAAAUUCACAACGAAAUUAAAGGCUUACUUAAGGGCAUUGUAAAUAAAAGAGAAGAGGCGAUGAAGGCAGGGGAAGCCACUAAAGAUAACUUACUAGGUAUACUUAUGGAGUCCAACUUCAGGGAAAUUCAGGAACACGGGAACAACAAAAAUGCUGGAAUGAGUAUUGAAGAUGUAAUUGGAGAGUGUAAGUUGUUUUACUUUGCUGGGCAAGAGACCACUUCGGUGUUGCUUGUUUGGACAAUGGUUUUACUAAGCCAAAAUCAGGAUUGGCAAGUUCGUGCAAGAGAAGAGGUCUUGCAAGUCUUUGGAAGCAACAUCCCAACCUAUGAAGAGCUAAGUCACCUAAAAGUUGUGACCAUGAUUUUACUUGAAGUUCUUCGAUUAUACCCAUCAGUCGUUGCGCUUCCUCGAACCACUCACAAGAAAACACAGCUUGGAAAAUUAUCAUUACCAGCUGGAGUGGAAGUCUCCUUGCCCAUACUGCUUGUUCAUCAUGACAAAGAGUUGUGGGGAGAGGAUGCAAAUGAGUUCAAGCCAGAGAGGUUUUCAGAGGGAGUUUCAAAGGCAACGAAGAACCAAUUUACGUACUUUCCUUUCGGAGGGGGUCCAAGGAUUUGCAUUGGACAAAACUUUGCCAUGAUGGAAGCUAAAUUGGCCUUGUCAUUGAUUUUACAACACUUUACCUUCGAGCUUUCUCCACAAUAUUCUCAUGCUCCAUCCGUAACCAUAACCCUUCAACCCCAAUAUGGUGCUCAUAUUAUUUUACAUAAACGUUGAUUAGUGCUGAAUUAUAUCUAUCAUUAAUGUUAAUGAUAAAGACACAUCAAGAUAGCUAUGGUUUGAACCGUAAUUAUCUUUACAUACUGUGUCGUUUGUCCUUAUGGGAUAAUUGGAAGAAUCAUUGAACUA